rnacentral:rRNA from 1 species
CCUACGGGUCGCAGCAGUGGGGAAUAUUGCACAAUGGGGGGAACCCUGAUGCAGCGACGCCGCGUGAGUGAAGAAGUCAUUCGUGAUGUACAGCUCUAUCAGAAGGGAAGAAAAUGACGGUACCUGACUAAGAAGCCCCGGCUAACUAAGUGCCAGCAGCCGCGGUAAAGCGUAGGUGGCAAGCGUUCUCCGGAUUUACUGGGUGUACAGGGAGCGUAGACGGCACCGCACGUCCGAAGUGAAAGCCAGGGGCCCAACCCCGGGACGGCUUUGGAAACUGUGAAGAUGGAGUGCGGGAGGGGCAGGCGGAAUUCCUGGUGUAGCGGUGAAAUGCGUAGAUAUCAGGAGGAACACCGGCGGCGAAGGCGGCCUGCUGGACCGUAACUGACGUUGAGGCUCGAAAGCGUGGGGAGCAAACAGGAUUAGAUACCCUUGUAGUC